rnacentral:rRNA from 1 species
AAUCAACGCUGGCGGCGUGCCUAACACAUGCAAGUCGAACGCGAAAGCCCGCAAGGGUAAGUAGAGUGGCGCACGGGUGAGUAACACGUGGACAACCUGCCUUCGAGUGGGGAAUAACCUUCCGAAAGGAGGGCUAAUACCGCAUAACACCUCGGGACACAAGUUCUGGGGUUGAAAAGAGCAAUUUGCUCGAAGAGGGGUCCGCGCCUGAUUAGCUAGUUGGUGAGGUAACGGCUCACCAAGGCUUCGAUCAGUAGCCGUCCUGAGAGGGAGCACGGCCACACUGGAACUGAGACACGGUCCAGACUCCUACGGGAGGCAGCAGUGGGGAAUUUUGGCAAUGGGCGAAAGCCUGACCAAGCAACGCCGCGUGGGUGAUGAAGCAUCUUGGUACGUAAAACCCUCUCGGCAGGGACGAACCUAAUGACGGUACCUGCGGAGAAGCCCCGGCUAACUCCGUGCCAGCCGCCGCGGUAAU